UCAAUAUAUAAUCAUCGUUCUGCAAAUAGUUUGUCAACUGAAAUUCAUUUGGUUGUUGUUCCUUGAAUGGUAAUUAAGUUAAUGAUUGUGAUGAUGGUGAUUGUUUUAAUCAUUUUGAUGAUGAUAGUUAUGGGAAGAUUAGAUGAUUCCCAUUUUAUCCGGUCAACAUUGUAAACUUUAAUUGUUCCCAAGUAACACAAUUGAGAUUGAUAUUAAAUUUGCGAGGCCAAAGAGUCGAUUCAUCACUAGUUGAUUGCUUUGUUCACUCUAUUUUCUUAUCGAGUCAAAAAGUAACCAUUGGAAACAAGAACAACCCUCUAGUUUUGUAUAUUCUCAUGGUGGACAAACAGUUAAUGGAAAAUUGAAGGAUUGACCAAUGGAUAAGAAAGAAUAAUGAUAAAGAAGAAACAACAACAACAAAAAGGAAACAAAAGAAAGAGGAAAAGAGAAAAGGUCAGACUUGAAUAUUGACCAAUCAACUCAAUUCGAAUGACGAACUGAACUCUCCCCUUCUCUUCCAUGACGACGUUAUUUCCAUCAUUUCCGCUAUUUAUCUUCAUUGUUGACCUUAAUUCAACGGAAUAGAUAAACACCCUUGACCAAUUCAUCUUUAAUCAUACAUAUCUCAUCAUCUAAUCAAAUCUACUCUACAUUAUCCUUUCUCUAUGUUUAGAUGAUGACAAUAUGAAGAUACACCUAAUCGGUGUAAUUUUCCAAGUAACAACUUCCUUCCGUUUGAUAUGAAGAAAAUAAGAUGAAAAAAAAUCGGAAAAUGUGAAAAGUUGACAACUAUUCUUGGUGACAUGAAGAAUAAUCAAAAGAUUGGCAACACAAUCAAAGGAGAUCACUAAUUAAAUUAAACUCUAAUGAACCUUAAAUUGAUGAGCAUCAUUAAAGUUCAUUUAGAGCGAUUGGUUUCAUCUAUUCUUCAUGCAUCCACAAAAGUUAACAUUGAAAUAAAAAACUUCUUUCAAGAAUAUUAACUCAAAUCAAUUGUUUCCAUAGACUCGAGUUAAUUACUGGAAUCACAGGCGAAAAGCUGGACAACCUUGAUCGCCAUCAUAUCUCAUGUCUUUGUCAAAUAUUGAAGCUCAUCACUUGAAAUCUGAUCAGAGUUUUUAUCAACAGACCAUCAUGCAGAUCAAUUGAUACCAAACUGAUCAGAUAGGAAUGAAUGAAAUCCUCAAGUCGAUAAUGGGAAUCGAAAUAGACAAUUCUUAAGAUCUAAAGGCGACAGAAAGCGAGAUGAUGGUGUGAAUAUUCAUGUCGAUAAUAAUGUAACACCUUCUCCAGUUCGAAUAGAAUAUUUUUCUUGUCAUCAACUUGAGAGCAAAGGAUUUUGAUGACAGGGAAUGAGAAGACACAAUGGAAGAUGAAAAACAUCAACAGAAAAACAAAGUAACGAGA